UUAAGCGACUAAGCGUACACGGUGGAUGCCCUGGCAGUCAGAGGCGAUGAAGGACGUGCUAAUCUGCGAUAAGCGUCGGUGAGGUGAUAUGAACCGUUAUAACCGGCGAUUUCCGAAUGGGGAAACCCAGUGUGUUUCGACACACUAUCAUUAACUGAAUCCAUAGGUUAAUGAGGCGAACCGGGGGAACUGAAACAUCUAAGUACCCCGAGGAAAAGAAAUCAACCGAGAUUCCCCCAGUAGCGGCGAGCGAACGGGGAGGAGCCCAGAGCCUGAAUCAGUGUGUGUGUUAGUGGAAGCGUCUGGAAAGGCGCGCGAUACAGGGUGACAGCCCCGUACACAAAAAUGCACAUAUUGUGAGCUCGAUGAGUAGGGCGGGACACGUGGUAUCCUGUCUGAAUAUGGGGGGACCAUCCUCCAAGGCUAAAUACUCCUGACUGACCGAUAGUGAACCAGUACCGUGAGGGAAAGGCGAAAAGAACCCCGGCGAGGGGAGUGAAAAAGAACCUGAAACCGUGUACGUACAAGCAGUGGGAGCCUCUUAAUGGGGUGACUGCGUACCUUUUGUAUAAUGGGUCAGCGACUUAUAUUCUGUAGCAAGGUUAACCGAAUAGGGGAGCCGAAGGGAAACCGAGUCUUAACUGGGCGUUAAGUUGCAGGGUAUAGACCCGAAACCCGGUGAUCUAGCCAUGGGCAGGUUGAAGGUUGGGUAACACUAACUGGAGGACCGAACCGACUAAUGUUGAAAAAUUAGCGGAUGACUUGUGGCUGGGGGUGAAAGGCCAAUCAAACCGGGAGAUAGCUGGUUCUCCCCGAAAGCUAUUUAGGUAGCGCCUCGUGAAUUCAUCUCCGGGGGUAGAGCACUGUUUCGGCAAGGGGGUCAUCCCGACUUACCAACCCGAUGCAAACUGCGAAUACCGGAGAAUGUUAUCACGGGAGACACACGGCGGGUGCUAACGUCCGUCGUGAAGAGGGAAACAACCCAGACCGCCAGCUAAGGUCCCAAAGUCAUGGUUAAGUGGGAAACGAUGUGGGAAGGCCCAGACAGCCAGGAUGUUGGCUUAGAAGCAGCCAUCAUUUAAAGAAAGCGUAAUAGCUCACUGGUCGAGUCGGCCUGCGCGGAAGAUGUAACGGGGCUAAACCAUGCACCGAAGCUGCGGCAGCGACACUAUGUGUUGUUGGGUAGGGGAGCGUUCUGUAAGCCUGUGAAGGUGGCCUGUGAGGGUUGCUGGAGGUAUCAGAAGUGCGAAUGCUGACAUAAGUAACGAUAAAGCGGGUGAAAAGCCCGCUCGCCGGAAGACCAAGGGUUCCUGUCCAACGUUAAUCGGGGCAGGGUGAGUCGACCCCUAAGGCGAGGCCGAAAGGCGUAGUCGAUGGGAAACAGGUUAAUAUUCCUGUACUUGGUGUUACUGCGAAGGGGGGACGGAGAAGGCUAUGUUGGCCGGGCGACGGUUGUCCCGGUUUAAGCGUGUAGGCUGGUUUUCCAGGCAAAUCCGGAAAACCAAGGCUGAGGCGUGAUGACGAGGCACUACGGUGCUGAAGCGACAAAUGCCCUGCUUCCAGGAAAAGCCUCUAAGCAUCAGGUAACAUCAAAUCGUACCCCAAACCGACACAGGUGGUCAGGUAGAGAAUACCAAGGCGCUUGAGAGAACUCGGGUGAAGGAACUAGGCAAAAUGGUGCCGUAACUUCGGGAGAAGGCACGCUGAUAUGUAGGUGAAGCGACUUGCUCGUGGAGCUGAAAUCAGUCGAAGAUACCAGCUGGCUGCAACUGUUUAUUAAAAACACAGCACUGUGCAAACACGAAAGUGGACGUAUACGGUGUGACGCCUGCCCGGUGCCGGAAGGUUAAUUGAUGGGGUUAGCGGUAACGCGAAGCUCUUGAUCGAAGCCCCGGUAAACGGCGGCCGUAACUAUAACGGUCCUAAGGUAGCGAAAUUCCUUGUCGGGUAAGUUCCGACCUGCACGAAUGGCGUAAUGAUGGCCAGGCUGUCUCCACCCGAGACUCAGUGAAAUUGAACUCGCUGUGAAGAUGCAGUGUACCCGCGGCAAGACGGAAAGACCCCGUGAACCUUUACUAUAGCUUGACACUGAACAUUGAGCCUUGAUGUGUAGGAUAGGUGGGGAGGCUUUGAAGUGUGGACGCCAGUCUGCAUGGAGCCGACCUUGAAAUACCACCCUUUAAUGUUUGAUGUUCUAACGUGGGCCCCUAAUCGGGGUUGCGGACAGUGUCUGGUGGGUAGUUUGACUGGGGCGGUCUCCUCCUAAAGAGUAACGGAGGAGCACGAAGGUUGGCUAAUCCUGGUCGGACAUCAGGAGGUUAGUGCAAUGGCAUAAGCCAGCUUGACUGCGAGCGUGACGGCGCGAGCAGGUGCGAAAGCAGGUCAUAGUGAUCCGGUGGUUCUGAAUGGAAGGGCCAUCGCUCAACGGAUAAAAGGUACUCCGGGGAUAACAGGCUGAUACCGCCCAAGAGUUCAUAUCGACGGCGGUGUUUGGCACCUCGAUGUCGGCUCAUCACAUCCUGGGGCUGAAGUAGGUCCCAAGGGUAUGGCUGUUCGCCAUUUAAAGUGGUACGCGAGCUGGGUUUAGAACGUCGUGAGACAGUUCGGUCCCUAUCUGCCGUGGGCGCUGGAGAACUGAGGGGGGCUGCUCCUAGUACGAGAGGACCGGAGUGGACGCAUCACUGGUGUUCGGGUUGUCAUGCCAAUGGCACUGCCCGGUAGCUAAAUGCGGAAGAGAUAAGUGCUGAAAGCAUCUAAGCACGAAACUUGCCCCGAGAUGAGUUCUCCCUGAGACUUAGAGUCUCCUGAAGGAACGUUGAAGACGACGACGUUGAUAGGCCGGGUGUGUAAGCGCAGCGAUGCGUUGAGCUAACCGGUACUAAUGAACCGUGAGGCUUAACCUU
rnacentral:rRNA from 1 species